UUGGUGUGGGUGCCAAAUUCUCCAUAGAUCAAAACACCAAGCUUUAUACUUCCAUUUUCUCUCAAAAUUUUCUUAACAAAAAUUGACGGGGAAUUUACGUAGAUCAUUAAUCAAUCUUUGCAUGUUCGUUUGAGAUUCGACAAGUUGUCGAGCUAUCGGGUCGGAGGACCAAGGGAAUUAACGGAGUUGUUUAAAGGAGCAUUGACGGAGUAAUACCGUAGUUAAACGGUUUCUGGAAAGCUGGUCCGAUUUUGAAGGAGGCUUCCGAAUGUUUAUUUCUCGGAAGUCUAUUUUGGUAAAGACUGUAAAGAAGGUUUUAAGUUCUAGUUGUCCGCAGUAGACUAGUAUUGUCUUAUUGUAUAUAAAUGGUUUAAAGCGUAUUUAAACUCUGAUGUUUUGUCGCAUCAGUUAUUUAAUAAAUGUUUCAUACAUUUCUAUUUUCAAAGCGAAAAAUUUAUAGUG